AGCGAACGCUGGCGGCAGGCCUAACACAUGCAAGUCGAACGAACCUUUCGGGGUUAGUGGCGGACGGGGGAGUAACACGUGGGAACGUGCCUUUAGGUUCGGAAUAACUCAGGGAAACUUGUGCUAAUACCGAAUGUGCCCUUCGGGGGAAAGAUUUAUCGCCUUUAGAGCGGCCCGCGUCUGAUUAGCUAGUUGGUUGAGGUAAUGGCUCACCAAGGCGACGAUCAGUAGCUGGUCUGAGAGGAUGAUCAGCCACAUUGGGACUGAGACACGGCCCAAACUCCUACGGGAGGCAGCAGUGGGGAAUCUUGCGCAAUGGGCGAAAGCCUGACGCCGCCAUGCCGCGUGAAUGAUGCAGGUCUUAGGAUUGUAAAAUUCUUUCACCGGGGACGAUAAUGACGGUACCCGGAGAAGAAGCCCCGGCUAACUUCGUG
rnacentral:rRNA from 1 species